GGAUUUACUUUGCUCAGUAUGAGAGUCUCUAGGUCCGUCCAUGUUGCCGCACUGGCAGCUUUUUUUAAAGCCCCAGGUGAUUGAGUGCUGCAGCUGGAAUAGGUGAUCUGACCAGAGCCGUGUGGACCUCUCCAGCAGAAGGAGUGGUGGAUGUUUCUCCCAGUUAAUCCAGAGCAGACUUCCCAGGCUUUGUGAAAUGCUACUGUUCUCCCAACUGAGAAUCACCAGCUUAAAGAGAGGCCCAGAGAGAAGUCACGCAGACAGACCGAUGGACAGACAGGCUCUGAGAUGAAGAAACCCAGCUGCUAAAUAAUCUCGGCGAACUUCCUGGGGCCUGUUCCAGAAGCUGUACCCACAUCAUCUCAUUCACGCCUUCCCACACCCCUCGAGGUCAGUGUUGCUUUUCUUAAACAGCCUGAACGAAGCUGGAAGGCAGUCUCCUCCCCGGGGCCUGGCUGGGGCCCGUCAGGCCAGCCCAGCUAAGCCGGAAGCUGCGAUUUAUCCAUACACAUACUAAGGUGCACCGAGUUGCCCUAGAAACUAGACUCCAGAAUAAUUAGACAAAGGGAGAAAGUGCGCACUUGGAUGGUGGCAAACAGGCUUGGAGCUCGGGAACCUUGAGGAGCCAUCGGGGCUUCGUGGCUGAAGAUGCCCGGAAGUUUUGCCCUCACCCCCUCCCCGAGAAGGAGCCUCUCUCUUUGGACCCAGAGUGCCCAGCUCGCGGAGGGAGGAAAGAGAGCUUACAUUUAUUAAGUGUCUACCGCAUAUCAGGUGUUGUCAUGCCGCCUGCCUUCCAAGCAGGAUCCCUUUUCAAGCUCGUGACAAGCCGGGAAGAGUGAUGAGCAUCUUCGGCGAUGAUCCCUUCAUUGCACACCAGCUUUGCUAGGCUGUUCUCAAACUUCUUUGGGGUUCUGGCACCCUCCCUUUCCCCUGCCUGGGUGUUCUCGCUUCUUCUCUCUGCAUGGCCAGCUCCUUCUCAUGCUUACCGUGACCAUUCUCAUCCAAAGGAGAUCCCCUUCCUGCUCUUUCCCCUCCGUUCCCUGCUAAUUUCCUUCAUGGUGCUCAUUAGGGCUUAACUCUAUUUUGUGUGUUCACCUGUUUUCCCGUCUGUCUUCCUAGCUACGUGUCAGAUUCACGAGGACAGGGGAGAGUGUAUGUGUGUCGCUCGUGGCAUAGCUCCUGGCAUAUAAAAGACUCUCAAUAUCUAUUGCCGGAGAAGGAAAGGACAACUCAUGGGAUCCUAGAGGAUCCCAUGGACAGAGGAGCCUGGUGGGCUGCUGUCCAUAGGGUCGCACAGGGUCAGACAUGAUUGAAGCGACUUAGCAUGCAUGCAUGCAUUGGAGAAGGAAAUGGCAACCUACUCCAGUGUUCUUGCCUGGAGAACCCCAGGGAUGGAGGAGCCUGGUGGGCUGCCGUCUAUGGGGUCGCACAGAGUUGGACACGACUGAAGCGACUUAGCAGCAGCAGCAGCAGCAGCAGCAGCAAUAUCUAUUGGUUGAAUGAAUGCAUGAGUGAAUAAAUGAGGAUCUCCCUGUUAUUGAAAGGAAGUGGAGGCUCAGUGAAUAUAAGGUUUUUCGCUGUGGUUUGCAGCUAAGAGGUGGCAGUCAGACCUUGGCCCCACAUUGAUCUUACUCUCAAGCUGGUUCCUUUUUUUUUUUUUUUUUAAAUUCAAGUAUAGUUGAUUUACAAUGGUGUGUUAGUUUCAGGUACACAGCAAAGUGAUUCAGUUUUACACACAUAUAUCUGAGCUCUUUUUCAGAUUCUUUUUCCAUAUAGGUUAUUGCAAAAUAUUGAGUAUAGUUCCUUGUGCUGUACAGUAU
ensembl:lncRNA